AACGAACGCUGGCGGCAUGCCUAACACAUGCAAGUCGAACGAGACCUUCGGGUCUAGUGGCGCACGGGUGCGUAACGCGUGGGAAUCUGCCCUUGGGUUCGGAAUAACAGUUAGAAAUGACUGCUAAUACCGGAUAAUGUCUUCGGACCAAAGAUUUAUCGCCCAGGGAUGAGCCCGCGUAGGAUUAGCUAGUUGGUGAGGUAAAGGCUCACCAAGGCGACGAUCCUUAGCUGGUCUGAGAGGAUGAUCAGCCACACUGGGACUGAGACACGGCCCAGACUCCUACGGGAGGCAGCAGUGGGGAAUAUUGGACAAUGGGCGAAAGCCUGAUCCAGCAAUGCCGCGUGAGUGAUGAAGGCCUUAGGGUUAUAAAGCUCUUUUACCCGGGAUGAUAAUGACAGUACCGGGAGAAUAAGCCCGGCUAACUCCGUGCCAGCAGCCGCGGUAAU
rnacentral:rRNA from 1 species